CCGUCCGCCCCGUGGGACGCCUUCACGCCAGGGACGGGGUCACGGCUACGCUGGCCAGGUGCGCCUUCCGCCGGGAAGACGCAAAGCCGACAGCCGUCGCACCCCAGGGAGCAGAUCCAUG
rnacentral:sRNA from 1 species